CACGGUUACCUGCGAUGCUCAGGCUCCAGCUGUACAGGCGCAGCGUGUCGUUAAUGAGCUCUGACACGGCGUCCAUGGUGCUCGGUGCCCGGGGAGCUCGGCUCGGCCGCGGUCACACACAGCUCACCGUGCUGCAAUUCCGGGGAGGAGCCGGGGGUCAGCGGGCGGCGAGCAUGGCGUGUGCGGGCUGCAGAUACUGGGGAUCAGGAUGAUGGCGGAGGAGACACUGCGCCACCUCUCUGCCCGGUGACAGUCCGACACACUUCACACGUGACGCGGUUGCCG